GAUGAUUGACAGGUCAGUUUAUUAUUUAGAUUGAUUGACAGGUCAGUUUUAGGAUGAUUGACAGGUCAGUUUAUGGUGACAGGAUGAUUGACAGGUCAGUUUACACUGUUCAUGACGUUAAACAGUCUUGGAAACUCUGACUCUGGAUUGAUGAGAACAUCAGUAAGAACUGCCCCUGAUACUCAAUUCACUUUUAUUUAUGUUUUAUUUAUUUAUAUAUCCAGACAGUCCAGAGAUCAAAUCAUGUCAGAGAUCAAAUCUAAAUAAGGAAUAAUAAAGUAAAAAUUACAGAGACAAAGAAAUGACUGAGGAAAAUAAUAGUUUAUAAUAAAAUACAGAGUAUUGUGUGGAACAGAUGAAGAGUGAAGAUCUGAAUAUAGAGAAAGAGAGAACAGAAGAAGGAAGAUGUUUGCAGAAUGAAAUGAAGGUAGAAGAGAAGAAGCAGAAGCAGGUCUUGCAUUAUCUCAUGUCUGCAGAGAUGGAAACAGACAUAUUUUGAUACAAAGGUACAUCAAGUUCAAAAUGAUCAUCACUUCUGCAGUACAUGGACAGGCGUCCGAUAUCUAACCACAAACGUGUCGACAUAACCUGAACACUGAAACACUCGAACAACUGAAUACAG